rnacentral:rRNA from 1 species
GUAGGUGGCAAGCGUUGUCCGGAAUUAUUGGGCGUAAAGCGCGCGCAGGCGGUCCUUUAAGUCUGAUGUGAAAGCCCACGGGCUCAACCGUGGAGGGACAUUGGAAACUGGGGGACUUGAGUACAGAAGAGGAAAGCGGAAUUCCAAGUGUAGCGGUGAAAUGCGUAGAGAUUUGGAGGAACACCAGUGGCGAAGGCGGCUUUCUGGUCUGUAACUGACGCUGAGGCGCGAAAGCGUGGGGAGCAAACAGGAUUAGAUACCCUGGUAGUCCACGCCGUAAACGAUGAGUGCUAAGUGUUAGGGGGUUUCCGCCCCUUAGUGCUGCAGCUAACGCAUUAAGCACUCCGCCUGGGGAGUACGGCCGCAAAGGCUGA